UACGAAGGGGGCUAGCGUUGUUCGGAAUUACUGGGCGUAAAGCGCACGUAGGCGGAUACUUAAGUUAGGGGUGAAAUCCCAGGGCUCAACCCUGGAACUGCCUUUAAUACUGGGUAUCUCGAGUCCGAGAGAGGUGAGUGGAAUUCCGAGUGUAGAGGUGAAAUUCGUAGAUAUUCGGAGGAACACCAGUGGCGAAGGCGGCUCACUGGCUCGGUACUGACGCUGAGGUGCGAAAGCGUGGGGAGCAAACAGGAUUAGAAACCCCCGUAGUCC
rnacentral:rRNA from 1 species